rnacentral:tRNA from 1 species
GAAAUAUAAAAUAUUAAGCUGCUAACUUAAUUUAUAGUGAUUAAUUUUCAUUAAUAUUUCU